rnacentral:lncRNA from 1 species
GUGCUUGAUAAGAAGCAGUGUGGACAACUCUAAAGGACACUGGAAGGGAAGAGGAAGGAAGUACAUUGGUUCUUCAGGAGGCGGGGGAUGCAAUGGACAGGAGAAGUAGCAGUGACAUGGUACCCUCUUGACUCUUGCAAACAAAAUCUACCCUGGUUACCACAAAUGCUUUUCUCCAUGCCUUUGCUUUUGAAAGUAUUAGCUACAAGGAUGAGUCUGGGAUCCCAAGUGGACACUGUGGUGAAAAGCAUGGCUGCUUCUGGAAAGAACUCAGAUGAAGAGAAGGAGGGCCCAUCCUAACUCAGAGUACCUCAUCACAAAUUGGAUUGCAGAGAACUCAAAUGAAGAGGACAAGCAAACUCAGGAAUGUGGAGCACCCAUCAUCUGCCAUGGUCAAGGAGAUAAUCUGUGGAGAGAGAGAGAAAACAGAUGGAGAGAGCUGCACACGCAGAGAUCCACGAGGCUCCUGAGAAUAAACAAGAAUCUCUUGGCUUCUCAAGAGCCUUCCAGACUUUCCUCCUUAUGUUUGGGAGUUUUCCUGACUGCCCUCCUUGACCUUGGUCAGCAAGGACACUUAUAAACUUGGCGGUGUGGGGGGUGUGUGUGUGUGUGUGUGUGUGUGUAGUGGGGAAGGUCAUGAGAUUUAAGCCAGUUUCUAUUAUUUUUUUUUUGUCUUUUGUCUUUUUAUGGCCACACCCAUGGCAUAUGGAGGUUCCCAGGCUAGGGGUCUAAUUGGAGCUGUAGCUGCUGGCCUACGCCACAGCCACAGCAACACGGGAUCUGAGCUGUGUCUGUGACCUACAGCACAGCCCACAGCAACACUGGAUGCUUAACCCACUGAGCAAGGCCAGGGAUUGAACCCGCAACUUCAUGGUUCCUAGUCGGAUUCAUUAACCAUUGAGCCACAAUGGGAACUCCUGAGUUUCUACUCUUCAUAUACAUAAAGUUCCUAAAGCAUAUUGGUAAUACUUUUCUAUUUUAAUUGAACUUUGGUAUUUACUCUAUCAUUUUCCAAUGGAUGUGGCAUCAACUUAACAUUCUCUAGCCUCUCCUUUCAUUAUUACCUGGCCCCUAAAUAACUUUUGCCCCCACUUCUUGUCCCUCUUCCUCCUUUUGGGGCUCCACCAUCUUUGCCUCUGCUCAGCUAUUUCUUCAACUUCAUCCUUAUUCCUAGAUGUUCUAGGCAAUCUCCUACUCAACUCAAAGCUCAACAAAAUAUCUCUUCCUCUGUAAUGUCUUUCUGAAUAAUUCAGGAAAGAUGAAUCAUUUUGCUGUUUAUAUUCACACAGUAUUUUAUUUGCCUUUAAUAUAUUAUGUUAUCAUUAGUGGUUAAAGUGUUUCCCUCAAGGGUAGAGACUGGGUAUCCCUCUCUAUUACUUAUCUUUUAUCACCAUCAUGUAGGACGGCACCAGGAGGGGAAUAAUAAGUGCUCAGAAAAAAAAAUAUAUGUUUUGUAUGAAUGGACUCAGGAAAUAUCACAGCAAAUAUGUGUAUGUGAUGUUUUGUGAAUUCUAGAAAUAAAGUAUGUCAUCCAAGAGUGGUAUAAAUACAUAUAUAUUAUAAGAAUUCCAUAUAGCAUAAGGUACUAAGGAUAAUCAGCAAAUAUAGUGGUUAAUGAAAAAUACCACCAUUAAGGAAUACAUUAAAAUGAAGUUUUGUAAGAACCAAAAAUCAGACUAAAGUUUUCCUUCCUUUUUUUCUUAUAAAAGUAAAAUAUUGAAGAUAAACAGCAUAAAAGAUUAAUUUUUUGGACUAGAUCUAUUUAUUUAAGAUAGAAGAAAGAUUCAUUGAUCAUACUAUUAAGAAAUACGCAUAUUUUCAUGUGCAUGUGUGUAGUAAGGUUUUAAAAUACAAUGUACCCAUUAUUUUCCUCAAAUUCAGGCAAAAGUGUUCUUAAGGACUUACUUUCACUUGUUUUAUUAUUAGGAACAUAGUACAUUUGGUGAUUAUAUAUAGUUUCAUUAUUAAAAUAUAUUAUAUAAUACAUAAUAAAAUAAAAACAUACAGUGGUUUUAAUCAUUAGAUACGUAUUCUAGGAAAAAACUCAAUUCUAUUAAUGCUUUCUCGCUCUGCCUAUUCCUGGCAAGCAGGAACAUCACAGAACAUUCCACACUGGUAGCCAGGUGAUCUAGGCCUGGCCCAUCAGCCUACUUCAAUUUGCAACUCAGGCUUCUUCUUAACUCUUUCCUACUUAAGUCUGAAGGUUGUUGUGAAGAUAAAAUAGGAUAAUGCUCAUGCUAGUUCUUUGAAAAGUAUAAAGCACUAUAUAAAUGGAAGACGUUAUUGUAAAAGGGAGUUUAAAACUAUAGCAUAAAAAGACGUUAUAAAAAUAAAAUAAAAGUGACUCUAGUCACUUAUUUUUAUGAGGUACUUUUCUCUCUUUGGAAAAAUAUAAUUUACUAAUUCAAGAGAGAGCUAUUAAUUUCUCAGUCCUUCACAGCCAUUAAAGCAGGGAUGAUGACUUCAAUUCAGUUUACAAAUGGAGUGGGCAUACUGCAGGGGAAUGCUACUCUCAGGUUACAUAUAAAUGGAAUUAAAUUAAAUUAAUGAAAAGAGAAGAAAAGCAUGUGUAUAUAAACAACUAACUCAUCCCCUAUGAGGCCCAAUCAUUGUCUGAAAUGAGGCAUCAGUUAAAAUAUCUUUACUUUUGCACAUCUCUUUCCUGUACUUCUCCAGAUUUCAUUUGGGAAUUAUUUCUAAAAUACCUGUACUUCUCCAGAUUUCAUUUGGAAAUUAUUUCUAAAAUAUUAUUAAUAAAAAUAAUAUCCGUAUGACACUUUUAACACUUCGAAUAAAAUUAUCAUCAGGUUUUAAAUUCAGUGGGGUAUAGUGAGCCUCUAUGUACCUGCAAUGAUAUGUCCAUGAGAGUACUUAACAAUUUUGUAUGUCUCCAGAAUUCAUAAGGCAAAUCACCCAAUGUCAGAAAAUCAUCUUGGUAAAUGCGGAAAACUGAACUCAUGGCCAUAGAUACUUUUAAUUAGAUAAGAAUUGUCUCUAUACUUUGAUUUUUGACUAUUAUAUCAAAUCUCUUUGGGCUUUUUAAUAAUUUCCAAAAUACAAUGAUAGAUCAAAAUGUAGAGUAUAAGAAAAGGAAAACAAUUUUUUAAACGGCAUGAAGCUUCAUUUGUUUGUUCUGUAAGUUAUCAUCUGAUACAACCUUCCUGAUGAUUAGUGAUAAUCUGCUGCUGACAAUAAAUCUUGCUGGGUUAGAGAUGAGGGAUAUCUCUGAAUGACCUUAGGGAAAUCUAUGAACAUUUCUAAGACCCAGGUUCUUUACUGGCAGAAUGAAGGAAUUGAUACUUAAUUUUCAAGCUCUUUGUAAUUCUUGAGAGGGUCAAUAGUUAAAAAUCAAAUGAGAUAAAUGUUCAUAAAUGUAGUUAUUAUUAAUAUGCCUUGACAUUGUAUAAAUAUAUGUGAAAUGGCAUAUUUCUUGUGGGGGGCAGACUUGGGGCAUAACAUAGGCUCUCUAUACAUAGCAGUCUUUGUCAUGUUUUUAUUGAUAAUUUGUAUGAGGAUAAAGAAUUCAUUAAUAGAAUCUGCUAAUGGCAUAAAAAUAAGAGUAUCAGAAAUGAGAUACCUGAAUCGAUUCCCCAAAUGAAUUCAAAUUAAGGAGAUGAAACUUACAAAGUUGUAGGGCUCUAUAUUUAAGUUUCAAAAUCCAAAUUCUGAGAAAUAGGUUAGAGAAAACUGUGGCUUAGCAGUAGUAAGUCUAUCUAUGUCAUUAGUCUGUUUACUUUUCUAUCUAUAAGCUAAAAGAGAGACACACUUAAGGUCUUAAGUUAUGAGUAAGCAUUAUUUAGAUCAUUGGAAAUAUGUGGUUACAAAGGUACUAAGAUUUGGGCAGAACACAAUGAAGUAUUUAUAUUUGCAAUAGUCCCAUUGUACCCAAAACUGAUCAGACAAAUCUGGGAAUAUUUUGUACAAUUCUGGGUACCAGGUUUUUGGAAGAAAAGAGACAAAUUAGAAUAUUAGACAAGAGUAAGAACAUCAGUAACAAAUGUCAUUGAAUAUGGAUCAAAUCUGUGGUAAGCUUUAAUGAAGAUUACAGCCCACUGUGGAUGGUAUCACUCUUACCUCAGGUUAGGAGAUACAAAUAACAUCCUCAUAACCAUAUGAAGAAGAAGUACUGGUACAGGAUUUGAGUCUAGAAGUCUAAACUAACUCCAGAACUGAUGCUGUUAGUUUCACACCAUUCUUAUUCUUUUUGUAUGUGACAUAUAUUAUAGAGAUUCAGCUGUGAGGGUAGCUGAGAAAUGAGGGGCUUUUUAGCUUAGAAUAGAAAAGACACAGGGGAAAAGCUGACAGGCACCAUCAAAUUUGUGAAGGUCUUUUAAGGUCAAUGGGAUGAAACUGCAGAUAGAUUACUGUUAAAUAAAAGUGGCCAGUCACAGGUGAGAGAGAGAGAGAAAAGUUCUAUCACAGUGGAGAAAUAGCAUCAGGUCUGCAGCAUAAUUUAAAGAUUAUCAGCCUGGGCUUUUGCAUCAAGUGACACACUAUAUCUACUAUAUUAUAAUUUACUAGCCUUGCAAUCUUGUCAAGAGAUUUUAAGUAUUUAAGCCAAUUUUUCUUCUCUAAAAUAAGUAAAAUACUAUAUGUCUGAGAUAAUUACACACAAAAUUCCCUCAAAUCAUGAAAAGUUCAAUAAGUGUUAAUCCAACAGUAGCAUUUGAAUUUGAAAGUCCAUAAUAAAUGAGAGAUUUUAUUACACC